rnacentral:rRNA from 1 species
AAACCGUUCAGGGGUAAACCUGAGAAACCCAAAAGAUCGAAUGGGGAGACUCAUCGUCAGCUGCGUUGGCUUGCGUGCGGCUCGCGAUGCUCGUUGGCGUUUCGGCGUUUCAACGGGUACGCGGUCGCUGCGUUAUGUCCGAUGUUGGUCGGCGUGCACUUCUCCCCUAGUAGGACGUCGCGACCCGUUGGGUGUCGGUCUACGGCCCGCGAGGUUGACUGACGAGCCGCGUUCACGCGCGCGCUUGUCAGACCCGCGGUUGCCCGGCCGACUGCCCGGCGGUAAAGAUCGCUAUUCGAAUGGUAUCGAGCCGCAUUUUGAAUGCGUUCAUUAUGGCUCGUCGGCAGGUGAGCCUCGCUUGAAUUUUACGGACCUAGCGCCGUUGUCGAGUGCUUGUCGCUUGCCGUUUCGCCGACGAUGUCCUCGGACGGGCUCUUGUAACGCGCUUUCGAGCGCGUUUACCGGUCGGCGACGCUUCUGCUUUGGGUACUUUCAGGACCCGUCUUGAAACACGGACCAAGGAGUCUAAC